AGGACGAACGCUGGCGGCGUGCUUAACACAUGCAAGUCGAACGGUGAAGCGGAGCUUGCUCUGCGGAUCAGUGGCGAACGGGUGAGUAACACGUGAGCAACCUACCCUUGACUCUGGGAUAACAGUUGGAAACAGCUGCUAAUACCGGAUAUGACCCUGGUGGACAUCCACUGGGGUGGAAAGCUCCGACGGUCAAGGAUGGGCUCGCGGCCUAUCAGCUUGUUGGUGAGGUAACGGCUCACCAAGGCGUCGACGGGUAGCCGGCCUGAGAGGGCGACCGGCCACACUGGGACUGAGAUACGGCCCAGACUCCUACGGGAGGCAGCAGUGGGGAAUAUUGCACAAUGGGCGAAAGCCUGAUGCAGCAACGCCGCGUGCGGGAUGACGGCCUUCGGGUUGUAAACCGCUUUCAGCAGGGACGAAGGGUUUCUGACGGUACCUGCAGAAGAAGCACCGGCUAACUACGUGCCAGCCGCCGC
rnacentral:rRNA from 1 species